UACGAAGGGAGCUAGCGUUGUUCGGAAUCACUGGGCGUAAAGCGCACGUAGGCGGAUUUGUCAGUCAGGGGUGAAAUCCCGGGGCUCAACCUCGGAACUGCCUUUGAUACAGCAAGUCUUGAGUUCGAGAGAGGUGGGUGGAAUUCCUAGUGUAGAGGUGAAAUUCGUAGAUAUUAGGAAGAACACCGGUGGCGAAGGCGGCCCACUGGCUCGAUACUGACGCUGAGGUGCGAAGGCGUGGGGAGCAAACAGG
rnacentral:rRNA from 1 species